CAAUACAUGNUCCCCGAGCGGCGAACGGGUGAGUAAUGCUUCGGAAUCUGCCCAGUAGCGGGGAAUAACUAACCGAAAGGUUAGCUAAUGCCGCAUACGACCUAAGGGUGAAAGCGGGGGAUCGCAAGACCUCGCACUAUUGGAUGAGCCGAAGUCGGAUUAGCUAGUUGGUGAGGUAACGGCUCACCAAGGCGACAAUCCGUAGCUGGUCUGAGAGGACGACCAGCCACACUGGGACUGAGACACGGCCCAGACUCCUACGGGAGGCAGCAGUGGGGAAUAUUGGACAAUGGGGGAAACCCUGAUCCAGCGACGCCGCGUGUGUGAAGAAGGCCUGCGGGUUGUAAAGCACUUUUAGUGGGGACAAAAAGCCAUGGACUAAUACUCUGUGGUCUUGAUUUAACCCAAAGAAAAAGCACCGGCUAACUCUGUGCCAGCAGCCGCGGUAAUACAGAGGGUGCGA
rnacentral:rRNA from 1 species